rnacentral:rRNA from 1 species
CCUACGGGGGGCAGCAGUGAGGAAUAUUGGUCAAUGGCCGGAAGGCUGAACCAGCCAAGCCGCGUGAAGGACGAAGGUGCCAAGCAUUGUAAACUUCUUUUGUCAAGGGACAAAAUCAGGCUCGAGAGCCUGACCGAGGGUACUUGAAGAAAAAGCAUCGGCUAACUCCGUGCCAGCAGCCGCGGUAAUACGGAGGAUGCGAGCGUUAUCCGGAUUUAUUGGGUUUAAAGGGUGCGUAGGCGGAAUAUCAAGUCAGCGGUAAAAAUUCGGGGCUCAACCCCGUCGUGCCGUUGAAACUGAUGUUCUUGAGUGGGCGAGAAGUAUGCGGAAUGCGUGGUGUAGCGGUGAAAUGCGUAGAUAUCGAGAGGAACACUCGUGGCGAAGGCGGGUUCCUGGACAUUAACUGACGCUGAGGCACGAAGGCCAGGGGAGCGAAAGGGAUUAGAUACCCGAGUAGUC